rfam:Mustela putorius furo unplaced genomic scaffold scaffold00021, whole genome shotgun sequence.
AGCUUUGCGCAGUGGCAGUAUCGUAGCCAAUGAGGUUUAUCUGAGGCGCAAUUAUUGCUAAUUAAAAGGAAUUGUUACAAAUUUAGCUGGAAGUUUUAGUUUAAGGCAAAGCUUAAUCUAUCCAUAUCAAAGG